GCCUGGUGGUCGUAACACGAACAUCCCAAAAUAGGCUACUGCAACAAAGCAUGUUAAUAACAAAGAAACUUGGGUCCAUGAAGAAAAUGCCCGACCAAGGAAGGAAAGUGCUAGUGCAGAAAAGAUAUCAAAAGUGGCUAGUGCAACAAAGCAAGCUAAUAAACAACAAGGCAGUACGGUGACUGGAUCAGAUGCCAACUCGAUAGAUGUUGGCACUAUAGUAUUUUUGAAGAGUUUGGAAAAUCCAAACAAGAAUGUUGCUCUUGCUACACUCCAAAGUAGUGACCCAGAAUAUGCAGUUGGAGGCGUUAGACUUGGAAAUCAGUUCUGGGCGGUGCGUGUUGAUGAUACAUUAGCAAAAUCCGAUGAGUUGAUACGACCACUCAAAAAGGUCAAGAUUAUUGGUCAUGCAGCAAAAUUAACUAUCGCAUAGCCUUCAACCUUUAUUUCCAAGAUAAAUUGAUGAUGCAUGGUUUGAGAUGUUGAUUGCAAGAUGAUGAUGGAUGCUACUACUGGAUAGUUUAAAUUAGUUUUAGAAUGUCA